rnacentral:ribozyme from 13 species
UUUUUGUUUUUUUCUGUUUUUUUUUCUUUCUCUUUUUUGUUGCUCUGGUUCGUCGAGUGUCUUUUCGAGAAAUGGCCUCUUGUCCUUUCGAGGAAGCGUUUCCAAAGGGAGUUCCAGUGAAUCCCAAGAUUGUUU